GUAGGCUUUGGGUGUGUCGGCUUGCACAUGAAAGGUGCACUUGCAGGCCAGGGUUUACUAUCUUCAGGAAUUGGCUGGACCUGGGAGGGCAGUCUCUUCAAGGGUCAGUUAAGGCCCCAAGAUGUCAAAGUAUCAGGAAAUACAGAAAAUAAAAAACGUGAUGAAUACAUCCAUCCACGCCAAACACAUUAUCAAUCUUCCUAAAGCUCAGCUAUGACUGUUUCACCUGCCCAUUGACACCACCAUCACCAAAGCACAGAGCUUGAGUCCUGGCUGGGGUAUCAAAGGCCUGCACACUGGUCCUUCUUUUGACACUAGCUCGUUUUGUGUGCUGGUGCUAGAAGGUCACUGAGACCUCUGCCACCCCUGAGCUUCAGGUCCCAGUUGUAGGUAGGAUAGAGACGGGACAAAAUUGUUUAUCUAAUAAAGUUGAUGGUCCGGGUGCAGUACAGGCUCAUGCCUGUAAUCCCAACACUUUGGGGGGCUGAGGUGGGUAGAUCACCUGAGGUCAGGAGUUUGAGACCAGCCUGGACAACAUGGUGAAACCCCAUCUCUACUAAAAAUACAAAAAUUAGCUGGGCAUGGUGGAGGCCAGCUACUCGGGAGGCUGAGGUAGGAGAACCCGGGAGGCUGAGGUUGAAGUGAGCAGAGAUCGCACCACUGCACUCCAGCCUGGCAACAGAGCGAGACUCUGUAACAAAAAAAAAAAAAUUAUAUGGAAAGAUGUCUACCUUACUCAUAGUAAGAAUUGUGCAUUGAAACUGCCAAGCUUAAAUAAUGAAGUUCGACAAAUAUGAUUAAGUACAGAGUUUAUUUGAGCACAAAGCUUGAGGAUGUCCACCCACGAGACACUGACUCCAAACUAAUGGGGACAGCAUUUCCAAAGAGGAGAAGUUAUGGUUUCACUUAUAUGUGCAGAGACUGACAUUGUAGCAGGAUUGUAACAUUUUCCAUAUGAGACGAGUGCAUAAGUUACAGCUAUUUGAUUGGUUAUAGACGGCAACGUUCCAAGGAAGAUUAUUGCUCUGUGAGGAGGGGAAGCCAUCUGAGGGGGCUCUCACAGCUGGCACCUCUUGAUCUUCUUAUUUACAGGAAAAAAGGCAGAAGUUGCCACUGCAUCCUUGUGAUUCAGGCUGCAUAGCCACAUUGCUCUCAGGUUCAGAGUAGUUCAAAGUUCCAACAGCUUUAAGUUUAAAUUAGUUUAAGUUUGAAUAAUUUAAUUUCAUAAAACUACACUGUAAUUCCAGUUUUCAGCUAUCCUGUUGAAAGUGGGCAAAAUGUCUCAUAACUGUAUUGGCAAAGGAGCUGGGAAACAUAAUCUCAUGUCUUGUUUGUAGGCUAGCAGUGAGCACAACUUCUAGAGAGGGCAAUUGACAGUUCUCAUAAAAACAAUGCUAUUACUUUUUUUUUUUUUUUUUGAGAUGGAGUUUCAAUCUUGUAUCUUGUCGCCCAGCCUGGAGUGUAAUGAUGCGAUCUCAGCUCUCCUGCCUCAGCCUCCUGAGUAGCUGGGAUUACAGGCACCCAUUACCAUGCCCCGCUAAUUUUGUGUUUUUAGCAGAGAUGGGGUUUCACCAUGUUGGUCAGGCUGGUCUCAAACUCCUGACCUCAGGUGAUCCACCCGGCUCGGCCUCCCAAAGUGCUGGGAUUACAGACAUGAGCCACCAUGCCUGGCCAAGGUGCUUACUUUGUUUUUUUUCUUGGUUUUUUUUUUUUUUUUUUUUUUUUUUUUUUCUGUUUUUUUUUAAGACAGAGUCUCACUCUGUCACCCAGGCUGGAGUGCAAUGGCGCCAUCGCGGCUCACUGCAACCUCCACCUCCUGGGCUCAAGUGAUUCUCCUGCCUCAGCCUCCCAAGCAGCUGGGAUUGCAGGUGUGCACCACCACACCCGGCUAAUUUUUGCAUUUUUAGUGGAGAUGGGGUUUCACCAUGUUGGCCAGGCUGGUCUUGAACUCCUGACCUUGUGAUCCGCACACCUCGGCCUCCCAAAGUGCUGGGACUACAGGCAUGAGCCACCGCAACCGGCUGGCAAUUACUUUUUAACCUAGAGUGUUGAAAUAUACCUGGGGGAUUUAUUUUAAUCAGUUAUGGCAAGACUCCCAGACAUGCAAAUGAUCUUCAUGAAGGAAAAAGUUUAUACUUAUAGAUUCCUGGAAACAGGAGACAUGGCCCACCACACACGGGUACACCAGUAACCUCAGGAAGCACAGGGAGUGAGGGUGAGCAAGGUCCCCGCCUCUACUGGGGUUUCUGAGGGAAGGAAUGGGUGAGGCAUGGCAGGUACUCUGAGCAAAUAUAGAUUUGAAUAGUUUUGGUAAAUCAUAGGGAUGGUUUCUAGUUGUCCAGUAUUUGGCCCUGGGGUGAUUUAGGGCAGGCAGGGAGAGAUUGGCUUAUUGUGUGAGUUUGAAAAGGAGAUGGUUGGGGUGUGGGCUGUGGAUUGGUUGGUUUGUAUUUCAAAGAUGUGCUUGUAGGGGAGUUAUUCGCUGUCUCUAGGAAAUAGCUAGCCCUGGGAAGGGAGGUCUCCAGGAUUAAGGCCCCAAAUGCCAGAGCAUCAGGAAUACGGAAAAUAAGAAAAUAUAAUAAAUACACCCAGCAAUUCCAUUUCUAGUAAAUUUUAUUAAAAAUAUGCUAUUCAUUUUCCUAGUCUAUUUCUCCCAUCCUGCUUGGUGACUUUCUCAUAUAUUUCUCUAGCUCUGUAAAUAUCUCAAUGUAUUCUACCCCAGCCUUGCUCUCCCAGAAUGACCUUGUUUGCCUCCUUCACAAACAAAAUACAAGCAGUUAAAAGACAGUAUCCACACCCUCCUGUCUACCAGCAAUCACACCUCCUUUCUCUGUCUCUUGCUGGAAAUUGAACCGUCCAUGCCAAGGCUGGCCUGUGUCCCAGCUUCCAUCCUCUUAGGCCAACUCAAGGACUUUCCUGACAAUUCCCUCUCCCUUUCCUGCAUGCUCUGGUCUGAAUGCUGGUGUCCCCCAACCCCAUAUUCAAGUAUUGAAAUCCUAACCCCAAAGGUGAGGAUAUUAGGAGUUGGGGCCUUUAGGAGGUGAUGCGGUCUUGAGGGUGGAACCCCCAUGACUGGGAAUAGCACCCUUACAGUAGAAGUCACAGAGAGCUGUCUCACUCCUUCCACCCUGUGAGGACACAACAAAGAAGGCACCCUCUGUUGAACCAGAAAGUGAACCCUCGCCAGCCACCAAAGCUGCUGAUGCCUUGAUCUGGGACUUCCCAGCCUCCAGAACUCAAUAAUUCGGCAUAGACCUGCUCUUGUUAAAGUAAUUUUAAUUUCGAGCGUAGCCUUCAGCAUUGCCCUGAUAUGUGGGAUGGCAAUCUCCUAUAUGAUAUAUCGACUGGCACAGGCUGAGGAAAGACAACAGCUCGAGUCACUUUAUAAGAACCUCAGGAUACCGUUAUUAGGAGAUGAAGAAGAGGGCUCAGAGGACGAGGUUAUUAUAUCAAAAAGAAGCAAAAAUAUUAAGAAGAAACUGAAGGAAGAGCAAAACUCAGUAACAGAAAACAAAACAAAGAAUGCGUCACAUAAUGGAAAAAUGGAAGACUUGUGAACGCAGACGACAGAGGUGCCGGCUGAGGCAGAGGAGAAACUAUGGGGGUGCUGGGAGACUGAGCCUGUGGGCGUGGCUUGCUCCCAGAGAACCUUAUGGAAGAGGACAUCAAAGAAAGAAAUGCCAGACCUGUAUCCCAGAAAAUAAAGCCACAUGAUAUAGCAACUCUUGCUUAUUGGCUCUCAUAGUUGAUGAAUAAUUAUAACUUAAUUGGAAAAUAGAAUAGAAUCCAACUUUGUUAAGGGUUAAGAGAACUUGUCAGGAUUUUCUUCUCUUGCUCCUGACCAGAAAUACCGCACAAGUAGUUUUGGGGGGCCAUCUCCCAGACUAGCCAGGGAAUAGCUUUCAUGAAGCAAAACUUUCCUGGUGAGAUUACCUGUCAGCUCCAUACCUUGUUUCCUUUGUACACAUGAGGAAACUGAGGAUGUUAAAAU
rnacentral:lncRNA from 1 species